UAACUUAUUAAAUGAUUUCUUUAGAUGUGAAGAAUCAAUCCAGUUUAGUUGGCAGUCUGGUCUGUGGGUCCAAGUCUUUGCCUUUGGAGGAGGAAGAAUAUUCUUCUACGUUUCUCAGGUUAUUUGUGUUUUGAUAGUGGCCAGAAGAUAUUGAACGACUGAGAUUGUCAGAUAUUUGCUUCUCAGGUUGGAAACAUAUCGUAUUAGUUAUCAUCCAGUAUUUUGCUUGAUAUUAUAUAAUAAAUAGUAAAGCUUCACCAUCAAGCCGUCAACUUGUAUGCUGGCUCUGUUACGGCUCCAUGAACGGUCUAGGUUCCAAAACGUUACCACCCACACAGUCUUUAGAUACUAAAACUUUCCAGCCAGAUGUCUUUCACGUUUUGAACAGACUUUUUGUCCACUUUCUUUCUGGUUCAUAGCUUUGCAACCAAGGACCACUUCCAAUGAAGCAACAUCACACGAUAAAGAGGCAUGGAUCACGUGAGCUGCCACUUCUCUGCAACUUUUUUAUGGCUGUGGAUAGAAGCUUCUCACCUACUGAUUGCGCAAGGGCUAUUUACCAACUGCUCCAUUUGAAUGUCACACAAGUCCCUGAUUUUUGUAGCAUUCUUGACAGGGAUUGGUAACUAUGGGAUUUACCUCCAAAUGUUAAUGUUUUGAUUUCAAGCGACUAUAGGGCAUUCGAUUAAGUUCUUUUGCAGCAAAACUGCGGAAAUUUUCCACGACUCAAAAAAAUAAAUAUCUGGAUCCUGCCUUCAAUCUCCACCACAAAAUUCUCCUCUUCUGAAUAAGAAUCUUCGUCCACCUUGCACUCUAUAUCUGGUAAUUACCAGCUUUUCCAGUGACUCAGGCACUGCAAGAAGAAAACUGAUUUGUCUUUUAAUUGCUUAUUGAGAUGCUCGAGGGAAAAGCAGUGGUGCGUGAGACAGACAUGCCGGAGGCAAUGCAGAACCAUUGCUUGGAGUUAGCUUACCAAGCUCUCGAUCUCCAUGAAGUUUGUGACCGUCAAGCCAUUGCUCACUACAUUAAACAGGUUCAUCUUAAACCCUUUGUAUUCACUUUUAUCCAUGCAGUGGAAAUCAAGUAUAUGUGCCACCCGUUUUGAUUAAAAGUAAAUAGAUCUUCCUUCACUCCGAUAAAAGAUUAAGGUCUAAUAAUUGUACAUCUUCCUUCAGUUGCUCAUUGCUUUGAUAAUUGUGACUUUUCAAGUGAAAUUAUAUAUGCAAUAAUAUGUAUGGAGGAAAAAAACAAAAGAAAGGGAAGAAAACAACAAUGAAGAGGGGAAAGAAGAAGAACCAGGCGUAUAAUGACUGCAGCCCAAAAGGCCAGAUAGGUAUGUAGACAUCUAAUUUCUUGUUGUAGGCAGUACCUGAAGGAGAGAUCCGCAACCUCUAUUGUUUCAAUUGAAAGUGGUUCCUUGAGAAAAGAGAACCAAGUAAUUCCAAAAGGUAAACUGCUAUACAAAGAUAAUGUUUGCUCCUCAUAACUAGUGUCCAAUUUUUUUUAAGAAAAAUUUCCCUCAUGACCAGGUCAUGAUUAGGAAAAGAUUCUAAAUGAAUCAGAUUUUAGCGGCCAUCUGAUAAGACUUGUUUAAUUAGUAUAUUUAAAGAGGAAGUGACUGUUGAAUUGAUCAAUAAUAUUCCUUUUCAAGUAUCUCUUUUACCACAGAGAAAAAGUUGUAUAUUCUCUCAGUCCUUUUUAACUGAAUGGGUUGUGGAUUGAGCAAUCUUUCAGUCCGCAACAAUAAGGUCAUAUUUAAUAAUUGCAAGUCCAAUCAGUGUGUAUUCACCUUCAACCUUUUUCUCUAGAAAAUGGAUACAAACUAUUUUCUAGGCUGCUAAAAUGUACCAUUUAUCAGAACUCAUCACUUGAAGUUGCCUCAGAGGAAAAUGUGAUCUGCGUCUUUGCAUCAAUUGGCUGUAUAAGUUUCGAAAAAUCAUACAAAGUCUAGGCAUGGACGGAGCUGUAUGGUUGUAAACAAGGAUUUACGUGACCAGUUGCAAGUGGUUGAUCGAGACAAAGCUUUAUCAAGUUGCUUAAUGACUCCUUGAGGGCUGCAUAAAACCAGCUCUAUUCACAUCCCGAACUUGGCCAAGGGCCAUGAUGAUCAUUUACAUGUUGGAUUUCAGAGACGAUGGAUGUGCUUUUGGGCUACGAUCCAGGAAAUUUGACGAAGCUUAUGGUCCAGCCUGGCACUGUGUAGUUGGCGUAGACUUUGGGUCUUGCAUUACACAUCUGUGUGGAAAUUUCAUCUUUUUCCGGGUGGAGACUAUGGAGUUCCUUGUCUUCAAGGACGGCAAGGACUUGACUGAAAGCAAGGAAGAGGCAAUUGGAGUACUGCAGGGAGCCGGAAAAGUUGAUUCAUGAGAUCCAUGUGCAAGCAUAAAACACCACUUCUGCCAUCACAAAGUGUUAGAAAUUGUCGCUCUGCAAAAUAACUUGAGGAUGCAGUUAUAUUUCUUUUAGCAGUGAAAAGAUCUUUGGAGCUGAUUAAAAAACCUCAUCACAAAUAUUUGGAGUGUGGCUAUUUCAAUCCAUUUUUGUCAUUCUUCCUUUCUAGAGUCGUAGCUUGUGUUGGAACCUGGGCUCCAAGUCAACACAAGUGCAGCCUUCUCCCGCUGUUUGGCAAAAUAUAUCAGAGUUCAUCCAUGUAAAGCUGUCCCAUGGUUAAGCUGGUGGUUCGAAUAAUUAAAUAUCUGAAUUGGAAUGAUCCACCACAAGUAGUACUUUACAAUAAAGCUUACCAUAGUUAUGCAGUA